AUGCACUGCCAAGUGUCUCCCGGCCUCUUCUGUGGCUGAGGGGUCUCAUUCCAGUGCCAGAUUAAAUCCCUUCUUGCAGAAAGGUCAGACUCUGAUGUGAGCUGCCCCUUCCGAUAGCUGGGUACAAAC